UAUGGAAAAGAUUUAAAUAUGUUAUUAAACUACUAGUAAUUUUGUGUCAUCCGUUAUAAGUCUGGUUCAUUUAUGUCAUCGUCUUUGAAAGUUUAGCUCACCUAUGUCACUGUCGUUACAGAAAGGUUCAUUCGUGCUAUUAUUUUGAACGAUAGUUUUGCAUUCGUUAACCUUUGGACAUAGUUCUUAACCAAUCUAUCUGUUUGGCAUGUAAAAUGUUCAGUCGUACAAACUGUGAUGAAUUGUUUGAUUAGUUCCAGCAGAGGAAUCACAGUCAAAUUAUUGUUUAUAUUGGAGCAUCAUUAUCUUUUUUUAUUCCUAUUGUUAACAAUUUGUAGAAUCAAAUCGCUUGCAACCCAAUACGUACCAGUUGGAAUAGCUACUAAGCCAUCUUGGAUGAAUGACAUUUCAACUUCUGACAUUAGAGGAUAUAAAGGGGCAUGAUAUGUUAGCACUGUUCACUGUGGAUUGGCAUACUCCUGAUUUGAAGCUUUGUCCAUCAUGCAAGAACGGGCCAAGGCCUAAGAGUAUGUCGCUGCUUU